rnacentral:rRNA from 1 species
GAUGAACGCUGGUGGCGUGCCUAAUACAUGCAAGUCGAACGAGGUGCUUGAGUAGCAAUACAAGAGUAUCCUAGUGGCGAACGGGUGAGUAACGCGUGGGUGACCUGCCCCGAAGUGUGGGAUAACAGUCCGAAAGGAUUGCUAAUACCUCAUGUGGUUAUCGGAUUUAGAAACUGAUAACUAAAGCAGCAAUGCGCUUUGGGAGGGACCUGCGUCCCAUCAGCUAGUUGGUGAGGUAAUGGCUCACCAAGGCUACGACGGGUAGGGGACCUGAGAGGGUGGCCCCCCACAAUGGAACUGAAACACGGUCCAUACACCUACGGGUGGCAGCAGUAGGGAAUAUUGCACAAUGGGCGAAAGCCUGAUGCAGCAACGCCGCGUGUGCGAUGAAGGCCUUCGGGUCGUAAAGCACUUUCUGAGAGAUGAGAAAGGACAGUAUCUCAGGAAUAAGUCUCGGCUAACU